AUUGAACGCUGGCGGCAUGCCUUACACAUGCAAGUCGAACGGUAACAGGUUAAGCUGACGAGUGGCGAACGGGUGAGUAAUGUAUCGGAACGUGCCCAGUUGUGGGGGAUAACUGCUCGAAAGAGCAGCUAAUACCGCAUACGACCUGAGGGUGAAAGCGGGGGAUCGCAAGACCUCGCGCAAUUGGAGCGGCCGAUAUCAGAUUAGGUAGUUGGUGGGGUAAAGGCCCACCAAGCCAACGAUCUGUAGCUGGUCUGAGAGGACGGCCAGCCACAGUGGGACGCGGGCAGGGCCCAGACUCCUACGGGGGGGAGCAGGGGGGAAUUUUGGACAAGGGACGCAAGUCUGAUCCAGCCAGGCGGCGUGCGGGAAGAAGGCCUUCGGGUUGUAAACCGCUUUUGGCAGGGAAGAAACGCUCUGGGUUAAUACCUCGGGGUAAUGACGGUACCUGAAGAAUAAGCACCGGCUAACUACGUGCCAGCAGCCGCCGUAACAC
rnacentral:rRNA from 1 species